GACGAACGCUGGCGGCGUGCCUAAUACAUGCAAGUAGAACGCUGAAGGAGGAACUUGCUUCUCCGGAUGAGUUGCGAACGGGUGAGUAACGCGUAGGUAACCUGCCUGGUAGCGGGGGAUAACUAUUGGAAACGAUAGCUAAUACCGCAUAACAGUAGAUAUCGCAUGAUAUCUGCUUGAAAGGUGCAAUUGCAUCACUACCAGAUGGACCUGCGUUGUAUUAGCUAGUUGGUGAGGUAACGGCUCACCAAGGCGACGAUACAUAGCCGACCUGAGAGGGUGAUCGGCCACACUGGGACUGAGACACGGCCCAGACUCCUACGGGAGGCAGCAGUAGGGAAUCUUCGGCAAUGGACGGAAGUCUGACCGAGCAACGCCGCGUGAGUGAAGAAGGUUUUCGGAUCGUAAAGCUCUGUUGUAAGAGAAGAACGAGUGUGAGAGUGGAAAGUUCACACUGUGACGGUAUCUUACCAGAAAGGGACGGCUAACUACGUG
rnacentral:rRNA from 1 species